rnacentral:rRNA from 1 species
AUACGAAGGUCCCGAGCGUUAUUCGGAAUUACUGGGCGUAAAGAGUAUGUAGGCGGUUUGGUAAGUCAGGUGUGAAAUCCCGGAGCUCAACUUCGGAACUGCAUCCGAUACUGCCAGACUAGAGUAGUGGAGAGGCAGGUGGAAUUCUCGGUGUAGCAGUGAAAUGCGUGGAUAUCGAGAGGAAGACCAAUGGCGAAGGCAGCCUGCUGGACAUUUACUGACGCUGAGAUACGAAGGCUAGGGGAGCGAAAGGGAUUAGAUACCCCGGUAGUCC